rnacentral:pre_miRNA from 2 species
UUAUGAUGUUAUGGUCACUGCUGACCGUUCAUAGAAUCCCUGCAAUUGUUUUGCAGUUUUAUGUUGGGAUUCUACGACGGUCAGGAGAGACCUUUUAUAUCAAAUA